rnacentral:misc_RNA from 1 species
AGCAGCCGCGGUAAUUCCAGCUCCAAUAGCAUAUAUUAAAGUUGUUGCAGUUAAAAAGCUCGUAGUUGAAUUUCGGGAUCAAAGGAUCGGUCAUGCCUUGGUAUGUACUGGUUUUAUUGGUUCUCACCUUCUAAAGAACCAUAAUGUCAUUCAUUUGAUGUUAUGGGGAAUUAGGACUGUUACCUUGAAAAAAUUAGAGUGUUUAAAGCAGGCUUACGCUUGAAUACAUUAGCAUGGAAUAAUGAAAUAGGACAUCAGAUUCUAUUUUGUUGGUUUCUAGGAUCGAUGUAAUGAUUAAUAGGGAUAGUUGGGGGCAUUAGUAUUCAAUUGUCAGAGGUGAAAUUCUUGGAUUUAUUGAAGACUAACUACUGCGAAAGCAUUUGCCAAGGAUGUUUUCAUUAAUCAAGAACGAAAGUUAGGGGAUCGAAGACGAUCAGAUACCGUCGUAGUCUUAACCAUAAACUAUGCCGACUAGGGAUCGGAUGAUGUUAAUUUUUAUAAUGACUCAUUCGGCGCCUUA